rnacentral:rRNA from 1 species
CCCUGGUGGGUAGCUUCCCGGAAACGAAAGUCUUCCGGUUCCGGGGGAAGUAUGGUUGCAAAGCUGAAACUUAAAGGAAUUGACGGAAGGGCACCACCAGGAGUGGAGCCUGCGGCUUAAUUUGACUCAACACGGGGAAACUCACCCGGCCCGGACACCGUAAGGAUUGACAGAUUGAUAGCUCUUUCAUGAUUCGGUGGUUGGUGGUGCAUGGCCGUUCUUAGUUCGUGGAUCGAUUUGUCUGGUUUAUUCCGAUAACGAGCGAGACUCUAGCCUACUAAAUAGUAACGAGAUUAUCAAUGUCUCAGUUGCUUCUUAGAGGGAUUUUCGGUGUUUAGCCGCACGAGAUUGAGCAAUAACAGGUCUGUGAUGCCCUUAGAUGUCCGGGGCUGCACGCGCGCUACACUGGCGAAAUCAGCGUGCUGUAUCCAUUCUCGAAAGGGAUUGGUAAACCCAUGAAAAUUUGCCGUGCUUGGGAUCGGAAAUUGCAAUUAUUUUCCGUGAACGAGGAAUUCCAAAGUAAGUGC